rnacentral:rRNA from 1 species
CGGCUCUCGCAUCGAUGAAGAACGUAGCGAAAUGCGAUACUUGGUGUGAAUUGCAGAAUCCCGUGAACCAUCGAGUCUUUGAACGCAAGUUGCGCCCCAAGCCUUCUGGCCGAGGGCACGUCUGCCUGGGUGUCACAAAUCGUUGUCCCACCAAUCCUUUACGG